CGCUCCCUGGAGUGUGCGCCAGUCGGGUACGUCCCUGAGCCGAUACGCACAAACCCGGGGGUUGCAAGUUGGGGCCGGUGUGCAUGUCCGCCUGACGGAAAGCCUUAACGCCUCCUGCAACCUCCACCUUGAACUCUCGGGUUCAAGGGCAGAACCGACAGCGGCACGUCGGGGGGUCU
rnacentral:other from 1 species